rnacentral:rRNA from 1 species
UGAGGAAUAUUGGUCAAUGGGCGCAAGCCUGAACCAGCCAUCCCGCGUGAAGGAAGACGGCCCUAUGGGUUGUAAACUUCUUUUGUACAUGAAGAAAGGGACCUACGGGUAGGUUCGUGACGGUAAUGUACGAAUAAGCAUCGGCUAACUCCGUGCCAGCAGCCGCGGUAAUACGGAGGAUGCGAGCGUUAUCCGGAUUCAUUGGGUUUAAAGGGUACGUAGGUGGCCCGGUAAGUCAGUGGUGAAAACCUGCCGCUUAACGGUAGGCGUGCCAUUGAUACUGUCGGGCUUGAGUGCAGUUGAGGCAGGCGGAAUGUGUAGUGUAGCGGUGAAAUGCAUAGAUAUUACACAGAACGCCGAUUGCGAAGGCAGCUUGCUAAAGUGCAACUGACGCUGAUGUACGAAAGCGUGGGUAGCGAACA